GGUGGCUCAGUGGUAGAGCACUUGCCUUGCAUGCAUGAGGCCCUGGCUUCGAUUGCUCAGCACCA
rnacentral:tRNA from 1 species